CGGUUCUGAGCGCGCCGUCCGUCCCCACCUGACGACUGCUCGCUACGUUCUGCUAACG
rnacentral:sRNA from 1 species